rnacentral:rRNA from 1 species
GACGAACGCUGGCGGCGUGCUUAACACAUGCAAGUCGAGCGGAAAGGCCCUGCUUUUGUGGGGUGCUCGAUUGGCGAACGGGUGAGUAACACGUGAGUAACCUGCCCUUGACUGUGGGAUAACUUCAGGAAACUGGGGCGAAUACCGGAUAGGAGCUCCUGCUGCAUGGUGGGGGUUGGAAAGUUUCGGCGGUUGGGGAUGGACUCGCGGCUUAUCAGCUUGUUGGUGGGGUAGUGGCUUACCAAGGCUUUGACGGGUAGCCGGCCUGAGAGGGUGACCGGCCACCUUGGGCCUGAGAUACGGCCCAGACUCCUACGGGACGCAGCAGUGGAGAAUAUUGCACAAUGGGCGGAAGCCUGAUGCAGAAACGCCGCGUGCGGGAUGCCGGCUUUCGGGUUGUAAACCGCUUUCGCCUGUGACGAAGCGUGAGUGACGGUAAUGGGUCAAGAAGCACCGGCUAACUACGUG